rnacentral:tRNA from 2 species
GCAUUGGUGGUUCAGUGGUAGAAUUCUCACCUGCCAUGCGGGAGGCCCGGGUUCGAUUCCCGGCCAAUGCA